UACAGGGGGUGCAAACGUUGCUCGGAAUUAUUGGGCGUAAAGCGCUUGUAGGCGGCUUGUUAAGUUCCGUGUGAAAUCCCCAGGCUUAACCUGGGAAGUGCGCGGAAAACUGGCGAGCUUGAGUGCCGGAGAGGGUCGCGGAAUUCCCGGUGUAGAGGUGAAAUUCGUAGAUAUCGGGAGGAACACCAGUGGCGAAGGCGGUUACCUGGAGCUUUGCUGACGCUGAUGCGCGAAAGCGUGGGGAGCGAUCCGG
rnacentral:rRNA from 1 species